rnacentral:rRNA from 1 species
UACGGAGGGGGCUAGCGUUGUUCGGAAUUACUGGGCGUAAAGCGCACGUAGGCGGCUUUGUAAGUUAGAGGUGAAGGCCCGGAGCUCAACUCCGGAAUUGCCUUUAAGACUGCAUCGCUUGAAUCAUGGAGAGGUGAGUGGAAUUCCGAGUGUAGAGGUGAAAUUCGUAGAUAUUCGGAAGAACACCAGUGGCGAAGGCGACUCACUGGACAUGUAUUGACGCUGAGGUGCGAAAGCGUGGGGAGCAAACAGG